rnacentral:rRNA from 1 species
ACCAGACUCCUACGGGAGGCAGCAGUGGGGAAUAUUGCACAAUGGGGGGAACCCUGAUGCAGCGACGCCGCGUGAGUGAAGAAGUAUUUCGGUAUGUAAAGCUCUAUCAGCAGGGAAGAAAUUGACGGUACCUGAGUAAGAAGCUCCGGCUAAAUACGUGCCAGCAGCCGCGGUAAUACGUAUGGAGCAAGCGUUAUCCGGAUUUACUGGGUGUAAAGGGAGCGUAGGCGGCCUGCCAAGUCUGAUGUGAAAUACCGGGGCUCAACCCCGGGGCUGCAUUGGAAACUGACAGGCUGGAGUGUCGGAGAGGCAGGCGGAAUUCCUGGUGUAGCGGUGAAAUGCGUAGAUAUCAGGAGGAACACCGGUGGCGAAGGCGGCCUGCUGGACUGCGACUGACGUUGAGGCCCGAAAGCGUGGGGAGCAAACAGGAUUAGAUACCCCAGUA